UGUUGAAACAGGUGGUGACCAUGUUAAAACAGGUGGUGACCAUGUUAAAACAGGUAGUGACCAUGUUAAAACAGGUGGUGACCAUGUUAAAACAGGUCCAUGUUAAAACAGGUGACCAUGUUAAAACAGAUGAUGACCAUGUUAAAACAGGUCCAUGUUAAAACAGAUGAUGACCAUGUUAAAACAGGUCCAUGUUAAAACAGGUGGUGACCAUGUUAAAACAGGUAGUGACCAUGUUAAACCAGGUCCAUGUUAAAACAGGUGGUGACCAUGUUAAAACAGGUGGUGACCAUGUUAAAACAGGUGGUGACCAUGUUAAAACAGGUGGUGACCAUGUUAAAACAGGUCCAUGUUAAAACAGGUGGUGACCAUGUUAAAACAGGUGGUGACCAUGUUAAAACAGGUGGUGACCAUGUUAAAACAGGUGGUGACCAUGUUAAAACAGGUGGUGACCAUGUUAAAACAGGUGGUGACCAUGUUAAAACAGGUGGUGACCAUGUUAAAACAGGUGGUGACCAUGUUAAAACAGGUCCAUGUUAAAACAGGUCCAUGUUAAAACAGGUGGUGACCAUGUUAAAACAGGUGGUGACCAUGUUAAAACAGGUUUGACCAUGUUAAAACAGGUGGUGACCAUGUUAAAACAGGUGGUGACCAUGUUAAAACAGGUGGUGACCAUGUUAAAACAGGUUUGACCAUGUUGAAACAGGUGGUGACCAUGUUAAAACAGGUUUGACCAUGUUGAAACAGGUGGUGACCAUGUUAAAACAGGUUUGACCAUGUUGAAACAGGUGGUGACCAUGUUAAAACAGGUUUGACCAUGUUGAAACAGGUGGUGACCAUGUUAAAACAGGUUUGACCAUGUUGAAACAGGUGGUGACCAUGUUAAAACAGGUUUGACCAUGUUGAAACAGGUGGUGACCAUGUUAA